CGCCUGCCCUAUGAGGAUUUAAAUGGCCGCGGUACUUUGACCGUGCAAAGGUAGCAUAAUCAUUAGUUUUUUAAUUGAAAGCUGGUAUGAAAGGUUGGAUGAGAAAAUGACUGUCUCUGUUUAAAUUAGUUAGAAUUUUAUCUUUAAGUAAGAAGGCUUAAAUGAGAGUAGAAGACGAGAAGACCCUAUAGAGUUUUAAUUUGGUUGGGGUGAUUGAAAAAUUGGAAGAACUUUUUUUUUAUUAUAACAUUAAUUUAUGAUUAUUUGAUCCUUAAAUAGAGAUUAUAAGAAAUAAUUACCUUAGGGAUAACAGCGUAAUUUUUUUAAAGAGUUCAAAUCGAAAAAAAAGAUUGCGACCUCGAUGUUGGAUUAAAAUAAAAUUUUGGUGUAGGGGCUAA
rnacentral:rRNA from 1 species